UGGGUGUUUCAGUUGACAGUGUGGUAAGUUCUCGUCAAGAAAAAAAAACAUUGUGGGGAUUUAUGCUACUGACUUUUAUUUUAAUUUUACCCAAUGCAUUGUUGUCUCUGUGCGUGCCCAUAUACAUAUUCUCAUUGAGAGUAUGGCUUUAGAAAAGUCCUAGAUGAUAUGACUCUAGAUGGAGCGGAAUGUGCGUAUGAAUAUAUAUAUUUUUCCUAUCUCAUUAAGAAUAUGACCCUAAACAAUCUCAUUAGAGUAUGGAUCUGGACAAGGUGGAACAUCUGUGUAUGUAUGUGUACAUCCUUGUGGAUCACUACACCUUUUAUCUUAUCUCGAGUACAUUGUUCAUUUAUUUGGUAUCUACCUGAUGUCAGGAUAAAGUCAGUGGGUUUAAAGAUUUGGAUUCAUUUUGAAAAUAUGAUUCUAAUCACCUCUUUUUUGGCUUUUCGAAAUGAUAAGCCAAAGUGAAAAUGAUGAGGAUAUGAUCGAAAAAGAACAAGGAAAAAGAAACUUAUAAUGAAAGUUCUUAAUUUUAUUUCGGUAGUAACUUGCGUAGAUUGCCUGUAAAAGUUAUGCUGUACAUAAAAAUUGCGAUAGUUGUGAGUGGUUUUUUUUUAUGGAACAUAGCUGCUUGUUUAGGUUUUUGUCUGUCUUUGGUAAUGUGUACUCAUUUUGCAAUCCUUGUUGCAUGUUGAACGUUGAUCCUGAUUCUCUUAUGUGUAGUUCUCCCACCUGGCAUGGGUUCA
rnacentral:misc_RNA from 1 species